AUUGAACGCUGGCGGCAGGCCUAACACAUGCAAGUCGAGCGAGAGGCGGACGGGUGAGUAAUGUGUGUGAAACUGCCGGACGGAGGGGGGUAACUACUGGAAACGGUAGCUAAUACCGCAUCCCAUCAGAUGUGCCCCGAUGGGGUUAGCUCGUAGGUGGGGUAACGGCGCACCUCGGCGACGAUCCCUAGCUGGUCUGAGAGGAUGACCAGCCACACUGGAACGGAGACACGGUCCAGACUCCUACGGGAGGCAGCAGUGGGGAAUAUUGCACAAUGGGCGAAAGCCUGAUGCAGCCAUGCCGCGUGUGUGAAGAAGGCCUUCGGGUUGUAAAGCACUUUCAGCGGGGAGGCGUUACCCGCAGAAGAAGCACCGGCUAACUCCGUGCCAGCAGCCGCGGUAAUUC
rnacentral:rRNA from 1 species